GAGGGUGGGGGGAUCCUUGGGUGGCUUCUGGGGCGCUGUGAGGGGAUGGAGGAGUCCCGAGUGGCUCCUGGGUGCUGUGAGAGGACAGAGGGGCCCCAAAUACCACUGGGUGUGUGCAUGAGGGGGCUGGGGGCAGGACAAGGGAGGGGAAGAGAUUGUCUGUUCGGGAAGCAGAGGCAAUAGCUGUCCUGCUCUGGGUUUCACCUCGGCCUCAGGUGAUGCAACACUUGUCUUCUAGAAGUGCUGGAGUCUCUUGGCCCCAGACAGUGGAUUUGGGGAAAAGAUGAUCUCUGAGUCAGCUGCAGAGGAAACCCAGCACUGCUCAGACAGCCCCUGUGAAUCUCACAUUUUAUCAGACUUCCACCAUCGCAUUUUUGAAGUGUGGUACCAUUGCCAUGAUGGAAGAUGGAUGAGAGUCCUGUGAGAAUGACGGCAGCGAGUAAAACUGAAUCCGGCAUGCUCUGGUUUGCAACAAGCGUUAAGGAUUAUUUGUUUAAAAUGAUAUUUAUCGUGCUUUCACGGAAGAGAGGAUUUGGAGAAAGAGUGCUGUCUCUUGGCACCACUGCUGUCACCCAGGCGAGAGCUGCCUCUCUGGCACUUAGAAACAGGAGUGGUCUUUGUAACAGGAGUUGCGCGGAGCUAAAUAGCAGUGGACUGACUUUAACUUGACCUUCAUCCUGGAGAGCUGCUGAAGGAACGCGUCCUUGUCACUGGCACAGAGAUGCCUGUGAGCUCUGGGACCAACAGAGCAGGGCAAAGUCAGGGGAAAAGGGGGUCUUCUAAACUGUUUGUGCGCUUUGGAGAUAUUGCCAGAGCUUACAUGUUGAAGCAUCCUGCAGGAGAAACUAGCGUGAAGUGCCAUGGAAAUGCUGUUUGCCAAACUCCAGAAGGAGGACUCCAGACUAUGGGAAGAGAGAGCCUGACCUGAGAGAGAAAGCAGGCUUACGGAGCCCCUCCGGAGAGGGACGGACCCUCUAUUCGGUAGAAGAUUCGAACAAGCUGGAAGAGAUGCUGAAGCACGUGUUGCAGAGCGAGGAAAGAGCAUCCCUAUUUCUCAGAUGCAGCCCAGGCGAGCGUCUUACCCAAAGCCCCACUACAGCGGCGUGACUGACGCUCGGUUGGGACAGCAGAAGCUGUUGCCCCUGUCAUCCAAGAUACCCACCACUCUCACACCAGGGCUGCUGUGCUCUGCAACCCAUCUGAUUAACGCGUACAGCAGUCAUUUAUCUUCAUUCUAGAAUAUCUCCCUGGCAUCCCUCUUGGCUGCUUCAGAUGUGGAAAAUCGCACAAUAGUCUUUCUUUCUCUUGCGUCUUUGAGUUUGUCUUGCUUUGUGCAGCACGUGGCUGGAAAUGAUAAAUGACUCCUUCCAGCUACUGGGAACUUUGCUGUGCUUGGCAUGAUUUGCGUUCACAGCCUUGUUUACUCUUCUCACAGUUUCCCUCCUUCUCUUAGAAAGAACCAGCAGACUCCAACCAGUAUGUUUAGUUAGGAUUAUUGCUGGCCUUCAGCCUGUCAUUUUUCUUGCAUAUCUCAGCCCUCAUUUCUCCUUAGAAUCAGUACUAUCUCCUGCAGGUGUACGUGCUACCUUUCCUUUCCAAAUAAGAUUGCCUAUUCAGCCUGGAAAUAGGGAUAAAGGCAUCCUGUGAAGUCCCAAUAGUCUCUGAUCUCUUUUGAGUGGGUGGAAAUAAUGGGAUUUUAAAAGGCUGUCAACUUAAAAUGUCUGCUGUAGGUACAGUACAGCUCUGGGAAGGCAAGCUGUUGAGGUUUGUUUCAGCAAAGGCUUAUUCUUCUCUUAUGCAUCUGGUAUUUUAAUUUGUUUUCUACAAGGAUUGAUAUUUUGGUGAAGAAAGGAGAAAACAAGCACUUCAGAAUGAAAUGCCUGCUGAUAACCCGAGAAGGUGGGUGAAAAUUCCCCAUCUAACUAGACCCCAGCUGGGAAUUCCUGUGUGGAUGUUAUUCCACGAAUGAAUACCCAGAGAGGCAACAGGACUCUUCUGUUACCCGAGUGCCUUUUCUUCUUACGCAGUUAUUCCGUAGCAUUCAAUAUUGCUGGUCUGGAGACAGUCUUAACGGUCUUGGAGAAAGCAAGCAAUAAAGAGCGAAGGGUAAAGCAGUUUUGAUAUUUUAUUGUUUCCAUCGAUGAUCAGGUGAAGCUUUAUAGUUAAAGAAUUAGUUGUUACAGUUAAUAUUAGUUAUUGUAGUUGUAGAAUCAAUUAGAAUUAAUUCCUCAAAAGGUUGAGAGGACAGUGGCCAAGCAGUAGAGCAGAAGGAUGCCUCACAUCUAAGAGAAGAUGGUCCAGACAUGAAAAUAGCAUGAAAAUGUGUGGCAACAGGGGCUAUGAAACACCACAGGGCCAGACCCCUCCUGCGAGUGGAAGGAUUGUGUGUGACACCACGGCCUCUGUGCCACAGCAGAAAGCUGUAAGGAUGAGCUGCAGCCGCUUUGGUGUCCAGCCCCUUCCUCUUCAAAUCCUUCCUUCUCCCAGAGGAUGUGUUGGCGGUCUCUGCCCAUGGGGGUUGCUGUGCUGUUCUGCAAUAGCUUUUGUUGCCUAACCUUUGAGGUACAAGAUGUAUUAUUCCUCUUCAGAUCAUAGAUAAAGUUAGAGGGUGGUGAUAAGGUAUUAAAAUGAGUUCUGUCAGCAAUAGGGAAGAAGUGGCCAGUGCUGAAAUAUCGAGGGAGGAAAUUAGCACAUCAUUAUCUCCAGAUGUGAACCUGGGAGCUGCAGACUAGAGAAACUCUGUGAUGUGUUCAGGUUAUUUGAGAAUAUGAGGCUUCCAUUCUUUCUUUGCCUCUGUACUGGACUCUUCAUAAAGCUGGCAAGUGCUCUGUUUGCAGUGUCUUACAGCCUAAGCCACGCAAAGCUCUGGCCUCUACUCUCGAGGCUGUCCUGAGCCACUCUGCCUGCCAAGCAGCCGGGAGGUACCGGGAGUGCAAGUAAGGAGCAGCCAGGACAGCUGAGAUGGGGGGGGUUCUUGGGCUACCGUGACCCUGCUGGCAGCCUUUCUGCAUGUAGUUUAUUUGAGCCGGUGGUUUUGCAGCUGCUUUGAACACCGUUCCAGCUGAGAUCAGUGAGGCUACCGGACUCAAAGGAGUGAGUUUUAAAGCCUCUGCUGAGCGAGCCUAGUCUUGUCAGGUGUUGGCCUGGGGUGGUGGUAAUGGUUGGGAAAUGCAUUUUUGUGUCUCCAGGAGAUGUGGUGAAGAUCCUGCAGUCUCUAGUGUCUUCUUUUCAGCAGUCCCUCCACGUAAUCAGGUGAGAUGCGCGUGCUUCCUCUUGGAUGUGCACGUUGUCCCAGCCCUGGGCAAAGAGGAUAAAAGUUGGUUCUAGGAAAUGUCUUAGAAAGAGAUGGAAGUGCUAACAUUGCGUAAGAAAAGCUGGAAGGGGCCAGCUGAGAAAUGGAGACUGAAAUGGCAAAAAUACAAACCUGGGGUUAAGUCAUUCUCUUCACCGCUGUGCCUGGUUUCUCACGUCAAAUUGAUGGUAAGAGCAAACUAAGGGAGAGUAGAGGGGUUUGCAUUAAAGAUGGAUCAUGUGAGGGACCCAUGUGGUGUGGGUUUAUAUACAGCUCUGCUCAUCUUCUGGAGCUUUUACAAACAUUAGAACAUCUUGUCUCUUCAGACUUUCAAGCUGCAGCACUGUCAAGCUUUAGUCCUGGCCUGGCCUGAUCGGCAGCUGAACAUGAGCGGUUGUGAUCCCAAUCCCCUCCUCCAUCAGGGAAAGGGAAAUGAGAGAAAGACUUGAGGGUUGGAAACUGAAACGUAAACAGCUUUAGUGAAGCAAGAAUAUAAUAAUAGGGAAAAUACUAUUAACAAGCAAAUACUAAAAUAUAUAUAAAUAUACAAACCCCAAACCUCAGUGUUAGGACAGGAGAGCUCUCCUGAGACGUCCUCCUUUUAGCAUUGAUAAGGGCUGAUUGAUCACCUAGGGAGAAGGUGUCAAGCCAUUUGAGAACGUGGUGGUGGCUCUGCGUGGAGAGGUGAUCUGGGGAGAAGGUAACUGAUUCUCUUCAGUCAUCAGUAGCCCCAGCAAACUUCCAGAAUGACUCUACUGCUCAAAGCUAAUUCUGAGACAUUCAGGUUUAAGCAGCAAGUGAAGCGUUUCCCCCAAAGCCCUGCUGACAGUUUUGGUUUUCUGUUGUUCGGCACAUAGGAGGCUGCAAACGCAGCACAGCUUGCGUGUAUUGUUUCAGGGUUUAACACAUAAAGGGGUGGUUGGGUUGCCUUGCAAUGUCUUCCAGCCCAUUCGCUACUUGAAGGUGAACUGUUCCACCUCUUCUGCCCUGAGCAAUCUCUCCAUCUGGGUGCCACCACUUCAGCCAUCAAACAGGAGCCAACAACUCUGAUAUAUGAAGGUGGACCAACCCUCUGGAUCCUUGUGCUGAAAUCUGGGAGGGUCUUCAGGGCACCUUGGAUUAUACUUUGGCUGGAGGAGGGAGAGAGGAGGCUGGUGCUCCGCACAGCAUAUGAGUCUGCUGUCUUCCUUGGGUGACUGGAAAGGGAUGAGCUCUGGGUUCCCCUGUGAGCCUUUGAGACCACAGAUUGCUCCACGCUACCUGUGCUCUCUGUACUACUGUCUCAGAAAGGUGGUAACCUUUCCUGUGGUUACUUCAGUUUGGUUCCCUAAACUGUGUGUCUCCUCCAUGGCAAAAAAACCCGUCAAGGUGUAUUUACCAUGAAGGAUGAUGAGAUUUUAAGCGAGUAAUUGAGAUUUAAAGCUCCCAUUACGAGAUCAAAUAAACUAGAGUUGUUUACUAAACUUGUCUUUUAAUUAGAAGAAAUUAUUUCAGUACAUCUCUCCCAAAGUCCUUGAUAGCCAGUGACCUAGUUUUCAUGGAGUGACCUCGCAGCAGUGCAGUCCCUCACCCAACUGCACUUGGAUGAGGGAGAACAAUGCAUGCGUGUGGUGAUGGUACGUAUGCCCGGAGUUUGAUUGCUCUGCUAUUCAAAGUUUCCUUCGGUAGAAAUACUGUUUUAUGUUUCUUUGGCAGCUUUUCUCCGUGCUACUUGUCCUGGUUUAAUUGUAAGGAGUCAUGUGUUGUCAGCUGUGCACGUUGCUGAAUACAAUGCCUUUGGGUGGUAGUGAGCACAAGUGACACCUUAAUAAGGGUCCCUAGAAACACGACUUUACUACAAGGCUGCCCCCAUCUCCCGACAAUUGUCAGAUUAGGGCUUAUUAGUCACACAUCCCUCCUCUGAAAACAACUAUUUGUCAUGCUCCUGCUCUGUGCCAAGUCCUCAGAAGACCUAUUAGGUUUUGUUGUCUUUGCUAAUGACGGCUGCUUUUUAAUUGCUCAGGUAGUAGAAGCGGGGCUUGAAAACUCAAUCAGCAUUAUCUCAGCUUAUCUCCCGGUCCCUACUGGAUUUAAGCAGAUCAAGACAUUCAUAGGGAUCACGUG